CCUACGGGUGGCAGCAGUGAGGAAUCUUGCGCAAUGGAGGAAACUCUGACGCAGCGACGCCGCGUAUAUGAAGAAGGUUUUCGGAUUGUAAACUUUUGUCGUUAGGGAAGAUAAAAGACUGUACCUAAGGAGGAAGCCCCGGCUAACUAUGUGCCAGCAACCGCGGUAAUACAUAGGGGGCAGACGUUAUCUGGAAUUAUUGGGUGUAACGGGUGCGUAGACGGAAGAACAAGUUGGUUGUGAAAUCCCUCGGCUUAACUGAGGAACUGCAACCAAAACUAUUCUCCUUGAGUGUAGGAGAGGAAAGUGGAAUUCCAAGUGUAGCGGUGAAAUGCGUAGAUAUUAGGAGGAACACCAGUGGCGAAGGCGACUUUCUGG
rnacentral:rRNA from 1 species